AUAAAAAUAAUUGUUGUAUGGGCAAAAUAGGAGUGGAUCUUCUUCCACUGAUAUCAGAUAAGAGAUCUGUGGUAAUGGCGGUGACAGAGGUGGCGCUUCAUCUCUACGCGCCUCCGUCCCCCUCUCACCGUGCUUUCCUCUUCCUACACGCCCGGCGCUCCCUUAUCAAUCUCCAUCGCCACCCAAUUUCUGUUUCCGAUCACCGGUUACUCCUCCUUCUCCGGCAAUGGCCGCUUCAUAUCCGCCGGUGCCGCCGUUGGGACUCCAACGCUGAAUCCUACAGCACCAAAGACUUCAAUUCUGAUGUUGCGGACGAAAUUGAGGAUUUCGACGAGCAGUGGGUUGGAGCUCUUGAGGAUUACAUUGAUAGCAUCUGGAUUUUAAAGGUAUUUGGAUCCUAUGGAUGGAUGCUUCCACCUAUUAUAUUAUCGUUGCUGCUGGCGAAUGGACUAAAAGCUUUUCUUCUGGCAUUAGCUCUGCCCAUUGGGCAGUCAACUUUUGCAUUUGCAAUACAAAGGUUCCAGAAGCGGGGCAAGAAGAAGCCAAAGCGGAAAGACAAGGCUAAGAAGCGAGGAUCACGAUUCUAUAGCUCAAGAGAUGCUGGAUCGGGGGAAUCACCAGAAUAUACUUAUAGCCAAAGGAGACAGAAAGGAUAUCAAUCAUGGGGUUCAAAAGAUGAUUUUACUACAACUAGUACGACUGCGGCCAAUUUUGGUGGAUGGGACGAGCUAGAUUCAGAGAUGGAUUACAAUGUAGGAGGCUCUUCUAGAAGGGCAUCAAGAAAAACGAGUGGAUCACGAGGGGCGUCUGGAAAGAAUAGGAGGAAAUUGAGGGAGAGUGAUGGGCCUUUGUUACUGAGGUUGCUGAUAUCUAUUUUCCCAUUUUUGAGCACAUGGACUAAGAUGCUUUAGUCCAAGUUUACUUGCUUCUAUGAUCCUAGCUGGAAAGUGGAAAUUUUGGGAGCACAUUAUGCAGAAAGGUUGGUUCCUCCGAAAUGAAGAAUCUUGCUUGUGCGAAGCAGCGUAGAUUGAGGAUGAGGCCUGCAGCGCCAUAUGUGUUGUUAUAAAGCCUAACUAUAUAUACAGAGGAAGGGUGAGAGAUGGGCCAAUGGUGCUUGUGAAAUGCUUGAAGAUAAAGCAGAAGCAUUCUCUGCAGCAGCACAUGGAGGUGAUAUCCAAGCUGAGGCACCGACAUUUAAUCUGGUCCAAACACUUUUUCCCUAAAUUUAUCACCUACACUCUCGCAGCUUCUCAUUCCAAAGAUGCAAUAAUGGAGUUGUCAAAAACAAAGAUGAGAUGAAACUGAGGCCAUAAAGCUUGCAGAAAUGCUCAAGUCGAUGACUAGAGCUCAUUAAUUCAAUUAUUAUACACAAUUAUCUUAAAACUCGUGCCAUUCAUAAAAUAAAAAUAAUAUCGUGGACAAAUAUGUAUAUGUUUAUUAUGCAAGCUUGAAAGUAUUUGUAUUAUUCUCUUAUUACGAGUUUUUUUGUCACUAUUUUCAUGUUUUUUUCAUGAGGUAUUUAUAGUUUAUUUUUGUGUUA